UACGUAGGGCGCGAGCGUUGUCCGGAAUUAUUGGGCGUAAAGAGCGUGUAGGCGGCCAAGCAGGUCCGCUGUGAAAACUCGAGGCUCAACCUCGAGAGGUCGGUGGAAACCGUUUGGCUAGAGUCCGGAAGAGGAGAGUGGAAUUCCCGGUGUAGCGGUGAAAUGCGCAGAUAUCGGGAAGAACACCCGUGGCGAAGGCGGCUCUCUGGGACGGUACUGACGCUGAGA
rnacentral:rRNA from 1 species